CUUCCGUGCAUAGAAUAAAUAUGAAAGGAGACAAAGGAUCUCCUUGUCGUAAACCUCUCCCUGGGACUAUGUUUCCCCUUGGUUCACAUAAAAUUCUGUAAGAUUAUAUAUGAUCUGUAAUGUAAAGAUUUUGAUUUUAAUCAGUUAUAAUAACAAGCAGCGUGGUCUAAUCAUACAAUGUGUUCGCAUAACGGUAUCAAUAUCGUCGUUUGUAUGCCCACUUGAAUCAAAGGUAACAUACAACAAAAAAUUUAAGUUUGAUUAGUUACAAAAACAAAAACAAAAAUUAAGUUUGAUAUUCUCAAGUGUUAACUUGUUAUAAGAUUAUAUCAAAGCUUGUGACUUGUGAGGAGUAGACAUCAAAAUGGAGCAUAUAAACAGUUUUUUUUUUGUUAACAGAAUUGAUCCUUGAACUUAAGUUAGUUUGUAUUUAGUAGAGGUUAAUUAAUAUAUUAUAUAUCUUACAUCUUGUAUAUUUAGGACAAACUGCCCACAUAAAAAUAUAACACCAACACACACUGCAUAUAUAUAUAUAUAUAUAAUUUAAAAAUAAAAACGAUAUAUAUUAUAAUGGUGUAUCUGGAUGUGCCAUUGAUUAGCAUAGCGGAUGAUAAAGCAUUAGCAGUAUGAUAUAGAAACAAUAUGCUGUAGAAGCUGUAUGUUUUUGUUCAGAUUGAAUGUAAUCACGAGUAUUAAUAUGAUCGAUCGAUAGAAGUUAAGUGUUUAGCAAAGUUUUAUUUUCCUCUUUAAUUUCUUUUUCAGAUCUAAUGUAUUUACAAGAAUUAAAAUCACCCAAUUUCGACAAAUUUUUCUUGUAAUCUACACAUUAAAAAUAAAGAGAGUCAUUUUUUACUUUGAAAUGCAUUAGUUGAUAAUAUAUGCAUUACGAAAAUAAUUUUAUGGAAUGAUAUGAUAUUUUUCUUGAAGUUUAAUAUUAAAUAUGUUAUUUCUAUUUAAAAUUUCUAUUUAAUAUAACAUUUUAUUAAUUGAUAUUGUUGUAAUAUUUUUAUAUAUGUACUAGUUAUUUAUAAAAUUUUAUGAAUUUAAAUUAAUUAUGACAAGUAUAAGGAUCAUAGUAUAAAAUAUAAAAAAUAUUGAAAUUGAGUUUGAAAUUUUGCUUUUUUGGAGAAGAACACCUCUAAAUUUCAAAUAUAUAAUUUUAGAAAAUUUAAAAAUAAAAUGUCUUUUUGGAGAUACUGUUAUAUUAUGUCAUUUCUUCAAUGAAUGACUGUCUAGAAAGUGAAUAUGAAACUUGUAGACUUUACUCUUUUAUAAUCUUGUUUACUACUAUACCGAUGAACAAGGUUUUGUCUGGUUUUCCUCUAACUACCGCGAAGCUUAAUGCAAAAAGUUAAAGACCAGCAAUUAACUUGUUAAAGUCUUUUUUCAAAAAAAAAAAAAAAACUUGUUAAAGUCUGAGCCUCAACUAUAUUUCUUCAUAAAAAACUAUAUAAACUGUAUCAACUCUCGCUCAAGUUCAUGUCUAUUUGACACUUAACUAGUAUACGCUUUAAGAGUUACAAAAUAUCUUAAUCUAAGUGGACACGUUUAUUGCUAUACUCAGACUCAAACUAGAGUUAUUUUCAUAGAAGUUAUUGUAACACUGAGAGGUAGUUAUUGCUAGUGGAGCAGUUUAUUUGUGAAAGGACUCAAUUUGGUCUCAACCAAACCGUAACUAGCGGGCUUAGAGUUAGCAUUUGUGCUUUAGUGUUUAGUUGGGCUUUUGAAUUUCGAAUUUUAAACUUUUGUGGCCGACCCGAGUUAAAGGGUAAACCAAAAUUGACUUAGCGGUUGUGUAAAAUAUUAAAUUUUUUACUUUUGCUGGUUCUUUUAUCGAGGGGGAAAGAAAAAACCGUAAAGGCGAUUUCCGGCGAAAAAAGUUCACGGGAGAACACAAUGUCGAGGCGGCGGAGUCUUCGUAGGGAAGACAAGGGUGAGGCAAGCACGAUCGCUAGGCGGCGGAGUCUGCGUGACAAAGACAAGGCUGAGGAUACAACGGAGGUGGAGGACGUUAAGGAAAGUCUACCUAAAAGGCUUUUUGCAACAUCGUUUCCUCAGUGAGAGGGUUAACAUGUACUCAACUAUAGACAAUCUGUUCUUCGUCAGAGACACACUAAACGGAAAGGCGGAUAUGGCGGAAUUAAUGGGCUCUUGCUUCGGAAGCCUUUUUAGGUUGCCUGUCCGGUGGCUGUUGACGGGUAAAGUGGUUCCCGGUAUGUUGACUAGGCAAGUUGUAACGAAGAAAAAGUACAAAAUGUGGCCUGUUUUCUGAGGGAAACCGCUGAGGUUCUCUUUGGUGCAGUUUGGGGAAGUGACUGGUUUGCCCUGUGGUGAAUUUGAAGAUGGGUAUAACAUCGACUACGAGCUGCCCCUGACGGAGGAGAACUACGCUUACUGGGAGAAGUUGAUUGGUACUGACCGGGAGGUCCUAAUUGAAGAUCUUGUGAGGAUGGUUUUAGGCGAUGUUGUGAUGCCUGGUUGUGCAAGUUGAGGUUGUGUUUGAUUAUAAUUGUUGAUGGUGUUUUGGUGCCUACGGCGCAAAAACCAAGGCCUAGUCUGAAGCAUGUGAAUUUGGUGAAGAAUCUGAAGAAGUUUUUUGCUUUCCAAUGGGGUAGGGAGUCAUUUAUGUGGGCUAUUAGGACGAUGAAGCCAGGCCCGAAGGAAAUGGGGAAAUGUGAGGACCCAAAUGGAGAGUUCUGUAUCAGACAAAAUAGUAUCAGACUAUUGGGUUUCCCUCUGGCCCUGCUGUUGGUGGCUUUCGAGGCCAUUCCCCUCCUUCUUAACCGAGCUGGUGGCGAUGAUAGCAUAACUUUGUUGAACUAUCCAGGGCAGGUUUUGCCUCAGCAUGCAGGCUUGAAUAUGGCUGAUUUGCGGAAAGCUAAACAUGAUCAUGGGCUGCUUGUACAGCCAAUGAUGGAGAUAAGUGGGACACAUGAGGAGCAGUGGGGAGUUUGGGAUGACUAGAAGUAUGACAAAAAGGUCGACUAUUUGCUUGGACUGAUUAAAGAAGGGCAUGGGUUGUCUAACUGGGGCGGUGGUGAUUCGGAGAACCAAUUUUUGUGUACCGUGAGAAAGCUGACAGAAAGUGAAUGGGGAGCUGUUUGUGGCGUAACAGCAGGACCCGUUCUAAAACAGAGACAGCUUAGUGGCUAUUUUAAAUGUGGAAUCAUCGUAGAUGCGGAAGAACACGCUAGGAUGGCAGCAUGUGUGGUAACUACUACAAUGGGAUUGCAUAAUUUUAUUAGAAUUUCAAAUUAUUUUGAUGAAGAUUUUGUUGAAGAAAUGGGACAUACAAAUACUAGCAACGAAUAUUCUGAAAGUGAUAUAAGUGACAUGGAGACAACAAAUAUGGCUGAUGGAGAUCAUAUGAAAAACAUUAGAGACAACAUUGCUGAUAUAUUAUGGGCAAAUCAUUAAAUUAUUUUAUUUUUGUUUAUAUAUUUUUUAUUAUGUGUUUUGAUGUUUUGGUGUAAUUUUUAUGGUUUAAAUAUAUGAUAUGCACUUUUGAA